GACGAACGCCGGCGGCGUGCUUAACACAUGCAAGUCGAACGGUAAGGCCCUUCGGGGUACACGAGUGGCGAACGGGUGAGUAACACGAGGGUGAUCUGCCCUGCACUUCGGGAUAAGCCUGGGAAACUGGGUCUAAUACCGGAUAGGACUCCUGGCUUCAUGGUUGGGGGUGGAAAGCUUUUGCGGUGUGGGAUGGGCCCGCGGCCUAUCAGCUUGUUGGUGGGGUAAUGGCCUACCAAGGCGACGACGGGUAGCCGGCCUGAGAGGGUGACCGGUCACACUGGGACUGAGAUACGGCCCAGACUCCUACGGGAGGCAGCAGUGGGGAAUAUUGCACAAUGGGCGCAAGCCUGAUGCAGCGACGCCGCGUGAGGGAUGACGGCCUUCGGGUUGUAAACCUCUUUCAGCUAUGACGAAGCGCAAGUGACGGUAGUAGCAGAAGAAGGACCGGCCAACUACGUGCCAGCCGCCGCGGUAA
rnacentral:rRNA from 1 species